rnacentral:rRNA from 1 species
CCUACGGGUGGCAGCAGUGAGGAAUAUUGGUCAAUGGACGCAAGCCUGAACCAGCCAUGCCGCGUGCAGGAAGACGGCUCUAUGAGUUGUAAACUGCUUUUGUACGAGGGUAAACGCAGAUACGCGUAUCUGUCUGAGAGUAUCGUACGAAUAAGGAUCGGCUAACUCCGUGCCAGCAGCCGCGGUAAUACGGAGGAUUCGAGCGUUAUCCGGAUGUAUUGGGUUUAAAGGGUGCGUAGGCGGUCGGAUAAGUUAGAGGUGAAAUCCCGGGGCUCAACUUCGGAAUUGCCUCUGAUACUGUUCGGCUAGAGAGUAGUUGCGGUAGGCGGAAUGUAUGGUGUAGCGGUGAAAUGCUUAGAGAUCAUACAGAACACCGAUUGCGAAGGCAGCUUACCAAGCUACUACUGACGUUGAGGCACGAAAGCGUGGGGAGCAAACAGGAUUAGAUACCCCAGUAGUC